rnacentral:lncRNA from 1 species
UGCCACAUAUUGAGUAUCAGUAUCUCACUAAAUGCUUCGAUAGCCACCUAGGAUGACAAACUAUUUUUCCCAUUUUACAGAUGAAGAAAGAGGCUUGGGAAAUAAUUCGCUGUCCAAGAUCAACAUCUAGGAAAUAGUAGAACUGGAUUUUGAAUCAAGUUAACUCCAAGGCUUGGUACUACCUUGCAGGGAUGUCACACCAAUAUGGCGGUGAAGACAUGGAGUUUUUCCACUGCCAUAUUUUGGUAUCCAUUAGCUGGCUUUGUGGAUUCCGAGUGGCAUCUGCGUCAGGAGUGGCGGCAGCACCUGAUCCAAGCUUCCUGGUCCAGGAGUGGUGCCCGAUCCCUGUGCAUGAAUCCAUGAUGUUGACAUUGGAGCUUGCUUUGGAACCUGUGUUCUGA